rnacentral:lncRNA from 1 species
AUAGAUACUCAAUGAUUGGCUAUGUAAAGCCAACUGACAUUUACUCCUGAGGUGCUGACCUGUUGCACCCUCUACAACCACUGUGAUUAUUAUUAUUUGACCCUGCUGGUCAUCUAUGAACAUUUGAACAUCUUGGCCAUGUACUGUUAUAAUCUCCACUCAGCACAGCCAGAAGAGGACUGGCCACCCCUCAUAGCCUGGUUCCUCUCUAGGUUUCUUCCUAGGUUCCUACCUUUCUAGGGAGUUUUUCCUAGUCACUAUGCUUCUACAUCUGCAUUGCUUGCUGUUUGGGGUUUUAGGAUGGGUUUCUGUAUAGCACUUUGUGACAUCGGCUGAUGUAGAAAGGGCUUUAUAAAUACAUUUGAUUGAUUGAUCAAAGAGGUUAACACAAUAACUGUGAAAUGUAUAAUUUUUAGCACCAUAUUGACUUACAGUGAACAACAACACAACACACAAAACUCUUUCGUGAUCUCUUUAAUUGUCUCCCUCUCCUUCUUUAGUUGCCUCCCUGUCUCCCUCUCCUUUUGUUAAGCGGAGCGACACAGGGGAACCCAAGAGCAGACUCAGAUGAGGAAACAGGGAUGAAUGAACCAAAAUAUUUAUUGUUACACAGGGCGAUAUGGAGUGCAGAUCCGGGGAUGCUCGGAUGAGUUGCAGAAAAAACAGAUGUGGAGACUGAGGUUGGAGUCAGCUGAGUAGGACAGGUCCUGAGGGGAAUCCAAGGAAGUGGUGGUGAGUAAAAUCCAGAGCAAGGUAGUUGGGUAGUGAGAUGUGGAACAGGAGCCAGAGACAGAGCGGUAAGUGCAAUGAGAGGAUAAACGGUGUCAGGCAGGGAAACAGGAACAGCAGAGUAACAGGAUCUUGAAUAAUCAUAAAUGGCUAGAAUCAUGAACUGACUGAGCAGAGAUUAUGAUCUGGCAGAGUGGAAGUGGCAGGACUGAGUAUUUGUAGAGGUCUUGAUUAUGGAACGAGUUGCAGCUGGUAGGGAUCUGCUCUGACUCCAGCACACCUGUCUCCAACCACACAAUCACACAGAGAGGGAGAGGGAGAGAGAGAGAGUGUACAGGGGGAGUAUCUGCAGGUCAAGAAGACACCGGAUGAACACCAGAGGGCGUAGCAGGAGAAGAUGUGACAUCUUUAGUUAUCUCCUCCUUUAGUUAUCUCCCUCUCUCCUUCUUUAGUUGUCUCCCUCUCUCCUUCUUUAGUUGUCUCCCUCUCUCCUCCUUUAGUUGUCUCCCUCUCUCCUCCUUUAGUUGCCUCUCCCUCUCUCCUUCUUUAGUUGUCUCCCUCUCUCCUCCUUUAGUUGUCUCCCUCUCUCCUCCUUUAGUUGCCUCUCCCUCUCUCCUCCUUUAGUUGUCUCCCUCUCUCCUCCUUUAGUUGCCUCUCCCUCUCUCCUCCUUUAGUUGCCUCUCCCUCUCUCCUCCUUUAGUUGUCUCCCUCUCUCCUCCUUUAGUUGUCUCCCUCUCUCCUUCUGAGGUUGUCUCCCUCUCUCCUCCUUUAGUUAUCUCCCUCUCUCCUUCUUUAGUUGUCUCCCUCUCUCCUCCUUUAGUUGUCUCCCUCUCUCCUCCUUUAGUUGUCUCCCUCUCUCCUCCUUUAGUUGUCUCCCAGUCUCCCUCUCUCCUACUUUAGUUGUCUCCCUCUCUCCUCCUUUAGUUGCCUCUCCCUCUCUCCUUCUUUAGUUGUCUCCCUCUCUCCUCCUUUAGUUGUCUCCCUCUCUCCUUCUUUAGUUGUCUCCCUCUCUCCUACUUUAGUUGUCUCCCUCUCUCCUACUUUAGUUGCCUCCCUCUCUCCUCCUUUAGUUGUCUCCCUCUCUCCUUCUUUAGUUGUCUCCCUCUCUCCUCCUUUAGUUGUCUCCCUCUCUCCUCCUUUAGUUAUCUCCCUCUCUCCUUCUUUAGUUGUCUCCCUCUCUCCUCCUUUAGUUGUCUCCCUCUCUCCUCCUUUAGUUGUCUCCCUCUCUCCUCCUUUAGUUGUCUCCCAGUCUCCCUCUCUCCUACUUUAGUUGUCUCCCUCUCUCCUCCUUUAGUUGCCUCUCCCUCUCUCCUUCUUUAGUUGUCUCCCUCUCUCCUCCUUUAGUUGUCUCCCUCUCUCCUUCUUUAGUUGUCUCCCUCUCUCCUACUUUAGUUGUCUCCCUCUCUCCUACUUUAGUUGCCUCCCUCUCUCCUCCUUUAGUUGUCUCCCUCUCUCCUUCUUUAGUUGUCUCCCUCUCUCCUCCUUUAGUUGUCUCCCUCUCUCCUCCUUUAGUUGCCUCUCCCUCUCUCCUCCUUUAGUUGCCUCUCCCUCUCUCCUCCUUUAGUUGUCUCCCUCUCUCCUCCUUUAGUUGUCUCCCUCUCUCCUCCUUUAGUUGCCUCUCCCUCUCUCCUCCUUUAGUUGCCUCUCCCUCUCUCCUCCUUUAGUUGUCUCCCUCUCUCCUCCUUUAGUUGUCUCCCUCUCUCCUACUUUAGUUGCCUCCCUCUCUCCUCCUUUAGUUGUCUCCCUCUCUCCUACUUUAGUUGCCUCCCUCUCUCCUCCUUUAGUUGUCUCCCUCUCUCCUCCUUUAGUUGCCUCUCCCUCUCUCCUCCUUUAGUUGUCUCCCUCUCUCCUCCUUUAGUUGCCUCUCCCUCUCUCCUCCUUUAGUUGCCUCUCCCUCUCUCCUCCUUUAGUUGUCUCCCUCUCUCCUCCUUUAGUUGUCUCCCUCUCUCCUACUUUAGUUGCCUCCCUCUCUCCUCCUUUAGUUGUCUCCCUCUCUCCUACUUUAGUUGCCUCCCUCUCUCCUCCUUUAGUUGUCUCCCACUCUCCUCCUUUAGUUGCCUCUCCCUCUCUCCUUCUUUAGUUGCCUCCCUCUCUCCUCCUUUAGUUGCCUCUCCCUCUCUCCUUCUUUAGUUGCCUCCCUCUCUCCUCCUUUAGUUGCCUCUCCCUCUCUCCUCCUUUAGUUGCCUCUCCCUCUCUCCUCCUUUAGUUGCCUCUCCCUCUCUCCUCCUUUAGUUGCCUCUCCCUCUCUCCUCCUUUAGUUGCCUCUCCCUCUCUCCUUCUUUAGUUGCCUCCCUCUCUCCUCCUUUAGUUGCCUCUCCCUCUCUCCUCCUUUAGUUGCCUCUCCCUCUCUCCUCCUUUAGUUGCCUCUCCCUCUCUCCUUCUUUAGUUGUCUCCCUCUCUCCUUCUUUAGUUGUCUCCCUCUCUCCUCCUUUAGUUGCCUCUCCCUCUCUCCUUCUUUAGUUGUCUCCCUCUCUCCUCCUUUAGUUGCCUCUCCCUCUCUCCUUCUUUAGUUGUCUCCCUCUCUCCUCCUUUAGUUGCCUCUCCCUCUCUCCUCCUUUAGUUGCCUCUCCCUCUCUCCUCCUUUAGUUGCCUCUCCCUCUCUCCUUCUUUAGUUGUCUCCCUCUCUCCUUCUUUAGUUGCCUCCCUCUCUCCUCCUUUAGUUGCCUCUCCCUCUCUCCUUCUUUAGUUGCCUCUCCCUCUCUCCUCCUUUAGUUGCCUCUCCCUCUCUCCUCCUUUAGUUGUCUCCCUCUCUCCUUCUUUAGUUGCCUCCCUCUCUCUCCUCCUUUAGUUGUCUCCCAGUCUCCCUCUCUCCUACUUUAGUUGCCUCUCCCUCUCUCCUACUUUAGUUGUCUCCCACUCUCCUCCUUUAGUUGCCUCUCCCUCUCUCCUUCUUUAGUUGCCUCCCUCUCUCCUCCUUUAGUUGCCUCUCCCUCUCUCCUUCUUUAGUUGCCUCCCUCUCUCCUCCUUUAGUUGCCUCUCCCUCUCUCCUUCUUUAGUUGUCUCCCUCUCUCCUCCUUUAGUUGCCUCUCCCUCUCUCCUUCUUUAGUUGUCUCCCAGUCUAACUCUCUCCUACUUUAGUUGUCUCCCUCUCUCCUCCUUUAGUUGCCUCUCCCUCUCUCCUUCUUUAGUUGCCUCUCUCUCUCCUUCUUUAGUGGUCUCCCUCUCUCCUUCAUUUCCUCUGUUGAACACACACACAAAAUGCCUACGCACAUUUCUAUUGAAACUUACAUGUUUCGUACAUCAAAGGAAUGAGAAAAUAACAACAAUGAAUGUGUAAUAAACAACAGAACCCGAGACAAAUCAACAGAGCUGGUUUCCCAUGGCAGCGGGCGGGGAGCAGUAAUCUGAGAGCUGGUUUCCCAUGGCAGCGGGCGGGGAGCAGUAAUCUGAGAGCUGGUUUCCCAUGGCUGUAUCCCGCUGCCUCAUGGACCUCCACUCUGGACCUCUGAUGGCUCCUGUGAUUGCAAUAAUCCAUCUUGCUGUCAGAUGAAAAGAAAGAGAAAAUCACACACAGUCUCCCUCCCUCACUCCCAUGUGUCCACCAAACAAGCUACCAUGUUGUGUACUGAGCCAACACAUGGACUACAGGCCCACUGUGUGUGUGUGUGUGUG